rnacentral:rRNA from 1 species
GAUGAACGCUGGCGGCGUGCUUAACACAUGCAAGUCGAACGAAGCACUUUAUUUGAUUUCCUUCGGGACUGAUUAUUUUGUGACUGAGUGGCGGACGGGUGAGUAACGCGUGGGUAACCUGCCUUGUACAGGGGGAUAACAGUUGGAAACGGCUGCUAAUACCGCAUAAGCGCACGGCAUCGCAUGCUGCAGUGUGAAAAACUCCGGUGGUAUAAGAUGGACCCGCGUUGGAUUAGCUAGUUGGUGAGGUAACGGCCCACCAAGGCGACGAUCCAUAGCCGAGCUGAGAGGGUGACCGGCGACAUUGGGACUGAGCCACGGCCCAAACUCCUACGGGAGGGAGCAGUGGGGAAUAUUGCACAAUGGGCGAAAGCCUGAUGCAGCGACGCCGCGUGAGCGAAGAAGUAUUUCGGUAUGUAAAGCUCUAUCAGCAGGGAAGAUAAUGACGGUACCUGACUAAGAAGCACCGGCUAAAUACGUG